CCAAUAGCGUAUAUUAAAGUUGUUGCAGUUAAAAAGCUCGUAGUUGAAUUUCGGGGUUAGUAGGUUGGUCAUGCCUCUGGUAUGUACUGGUCUCACUGAUUCCUCCUUCCUGAUGAGCCGUAAUGCCAUUAAUUUGGUGUUGCGGGGAAUUUGGACUGUUACUUUGAAAAAAUUAGUGUGUUUAAAGCAAGCUAACGCUUGAAUACAUUAGCAUGGAAUAAUGAAAUAGGACGUUCGAUCCUAUUUUGUUGGUUUCUAGGAUUGACGUAAUGAUUAAUAGGGAUAGUUGGGGGCAUUAGUAUUCUAUUGUCAGAGGUGAAAUUCUUGGAUUUAUUGAAGACUAACUACUGCGAAAGCAUUUGCCAAGGAUGUUUUCAUUAAUCAAGAACGAAAGUUAGGGGAUCGAAGACGAUCAGAUACCGUCGUAGUCUUAACCAUAAACUAUGCCGACUAGGGAUCGGAUGAUGUUAAUUUUUUAAUGACUCAUUCGGCGCCUUACG
rnacentral:rRNA from 1 species